rnacentral:misc_RNA from 1 species
GAAAUGCGAUAAUUAAUGUGAAUUGCAGAAUUCAGUGAAUCAUCGAGUCUUUGAACGCACAUUGCGCCCCCUGGUAUUCCGGGGGGCAUGCCUGUCCGAGCGUCAUUGCUGCCCUCAAGCACGGCUUGUGUGUUGGGCUUCCGUCCCUGGCAACGGGGACGGGCCCAAAAGGCAGUGCCGGCACCAUGUCUGGUCCUCGAGCGUAUGGGGCUUUGUCACCCGCUCCCGUAGGUCCAGCUGGCAGCUAGCCUCGCAACCAAUCUUUUUAACCAGGUUGACCUCGGAUCAGGUAGGGAUACCCGCUGAACUUAAGC